rnacentral:rRNA from 1 species
UCCGUAGGCAGCAAGCGUUGUUCGGAGUUACUGGGCGUAAAGGGUGCGUAGGCGGUCCUAUAAGUAUGGUGUGAAAUCUCCCGGCUUAACUGGGAGGGUGCGCUAUAGACUGUGGGACUAGAGUGUGGGAGAGGAAAGUGGAAUUCCUGGUGUAGCGGUGAAAUGCGUAGAUAUCAGGAGGAACACCGGUGGUGUAAACGGCUUUCUGGACCAUAACUGACGCUGAGGCACGAAAGCGUGGGGAGCAAACAGG